rnacentral:rRNA from 1 species
AUGGCCUACGGGAGGCAGCAGUGGGGAAUAUUGCACAAUGGGGGGAACCCUGAUGCAGCGACGCCGCGUGGGUGAAGGAGCACCUCGGUGCGUAAAGCCCUAUCAGCAGGGAAGAAAAUGACGGUACCUGAAGAAGAAGCCCCGGCUAACUACGUGCCAGCAGCCGCGGUAAUACGUAGGGGGCAAGCGUUAUCCGGAUUUACUGGGUGUAAAGGGGGCGCAGACGGCGAUGCAAGCCAGGAGUGAAAGCCCGGGGCCCAACACC